GAGGGGAGCAUCCCAAAAGAAGGAGCAACACAACGGCUGGAAGGAUCCCAGGAUGAGCCGGCGAAUUUUGUUUUCCAUCAGAAAUAAAUCACUGCUAAAAUGAAUCAGCAAGGAUAUGUUGCAACACCUCCAUAUUCUCAGCCCCAGCCAGGAAUGGGGGGAUUCUCUGCUGGUUUGGGCAACCUGCUUCUUCACAUAUGUAUGGACACUAUGGUGAUGUAAACUCAUCUUCUGCAUCUCAGUCAGCUAUGUUGAAACCUAAUGUGCCUUUCGGGUCUGCUGCUCCCAUUGGUUCACCAUCUCCUAGUGCUCACCAGUUUAACCAAACCAAUAUCCAGAAUGGG